rnacentral:lncRNA from 1 species
UUUUAUUUUAAAAUUUAAUUUUAUUUAUGAGUUAUAACUUAAAUUUUAAAUUCAAAUUAUAAAUUAAAUUUAUGUCUCAAAUUUUAAUUAUAAAUUCAACUCGGAUUUAUUAAAUUUAAAUUUUAAAAUGUAAUUUUAAAUUCUAAAUAUGAAUAUAAAUUUAAAAUUUUAAUUUACAUUGCGAAUAUAAGUCGUUUGUUUAUAUUUUCAUAUCUUUAUAUAUAAUUUAAUAAUCAAAAUUAUAAAAUUAUAGUUUUUAAUUUUUCACUUUAUAUAGCUAACCAAACAAUCGAACUGAAAAGUCACUUUUGUAAAAAUGACAUUUCCCAUUUCACCCACCGGAGCAACCAAACAUUUGUUAAACU